rnacentral:tRNA from 2 species
GGAAGUGUGUCAGAGCGGCCGAAUGUGCGACACUCGAAAUGUCGUGUGGGGCAACCCACCGGGGGUUCAAAUCCCUCCACUUCCG